rnacentral:tRNA from 3 species
GGAGAGGUGUCCGAGCGGACUAAGGAGCACGCCUGGAGAGCGUGUGAGGUGUAUCUCACCUCCGUGGGUUCGAAUCCCACCCUCUCCG